CAUCUUUAAAUCCACUUCAACAAGGCAGUUGUCUGUGGAGUACAUCUUGUCUUGGGAGCACCCUUUGAUUUUACAUCUUGUGACAUUCCAAUCAUACGAAGAUG